AUGUGGCCAGCAUCACCGUGCGCCGUCCCGCGUCACCGGCAGCUCUCCGAGCCUCAUCUCACCACGAGCCAAGCUCAGGGGCGAAACGAGCUAAAAGCCACGGAGGGGAGAGGGGGGAGAGCCUUUGGAAAGCACCCGCAGCAGCUGCUGCCGCCGCCUAGACUUUCCCUUUCAUAUUUACAGCCACGUCUAUCGUCGUUUAUAGGGCGGACAAAUCGGGGCCUCGCUGGGUGUAGGCAACCGAGGAACAUAGCUGAAAUAUUUCGGCUGCGCUCUCCUCUGGAGGGCGGCUCCGUGCAGGGAGGAGGCACCCAGCGCGUGGGUGCCCCCGCCAGGGGGGGGGGCCCGGAGCAGUGUUUCUGCACCAGAUAUUGCUGUGGACCGAGGGCGAGCCGAGGGGCUGCAAGUGUUUUGGGAGGCAGGACGGGAGCCGAAAAUCGCCUCGGCAAGUCGAGGGGUGCGGGCGCAUCGCCGGCGGGGGUAAAACCGGGGGCGGGGGCUCGGGGACCUCUGCCCCCCACCCACUGGGAGCCUGCUGGGUUGUUGCGUGGUUCUCCGGCCUCUCCCAGCCCUGUCAUUUUUGAGGGAACAAAUUGUGCAAAGGAAACAUCGCCUGCAUGGGGACGAAGCGCGGCCACACGGCGUUUCAGAGCCCCGAAGGACUUGGACCGGCGGCCGCCUCUCUCGCUGUCACCGUGGUCUGGAGGCAAAGCAGUGGGCACAUUCCUGCAGCUCCGCCACCCCUGUCCUCCCAGUUUGUGCCCCAGGAGCCGGGCACCAGCCUGAGCCCCCCAGUUACAGGUGGCCACGGGGGGCUCGGAGGCGAGGAUGCAGCUGUGGGACGGGGACAGGUGGAAGGGUCCCGCUGGGGAUGGUCCCCGUGCACAGCAGCAGGCUGCUGGAUGGUCCCCGUGCACAGGCUGGGGCUGGCCUUGGGCAGGAAGAGGUUAAUCCUAGCCACAGCCCGGUGAAGUUUGGUCAGGUCACGGCUUUUCCAAAGGCUUAAAAUUUCGGACGUGCAGCAGCUGGUGUCCGGGCCACGGCUGACCCGCGCCGUCCGGCUGGAGUUAAUCAUUGCCGUUGGCUCUGGGACUUGUCUGAGCUCAGCAACACGGACCUUUUCCCCAAAAACACGUGGUGAGGAGCCGGGGGCCUGGAGGAAACCCCAAGCUGCCAGGGUGCAGGGGGCUGGGGAGAGCUGAGCAGCCUGGCCCUGACUCUAACCCUAACCCUGACCCUAACCUGAACCCUGACCCUAAAUCCUGACCCUAACCCUGCCACUGGACCACGCUUUCCCCCUGCACGAGCUGCCAAAUAAACACAGGGGCUCGCUUCCCUGCA
rnacentral:lncRNA from 1 species